rnacentral:tRNA from 1 species
GGGCCAGUAGCCCAGUCUGGUAGAGCGCCUGCUUUGCAAGCAGGAGGUCUCGGGUUCGAAUCCCGACUGGUCCA